AUACGUAGGGUGCGAGCGUUGUCCGGAAUUACUGGGCGUAAAGAGCUCGUAGGUGGUUUGUCGCGUCGUCUGUGAAAUUCCGGGGCUUAACUCCGGGCGUGCAGGCGAUACGGGCAUAACUUGAGUACUGUAGGGGAGACUGGAAUUCCUGGUGUAGCGGUGAAAUGCGCAGAUAUCAGGAGGACAACCGGUGGCGAAGGCGGGUCUCUGGGCAGUAACUGACGCUGAGGAGCGAAAGCAUGGGUAGCGAACAGGAUUAGAUACCCUGGUAGUCCAUGCCGUAAACGGUGGGCGCUAGGUGUAGGGGUCUUCCACGACUUCUGUGCCGUAGCUAACGCAUUAAGCGCCCCGCCUGGGGAGUACGGCCGCAAGGCUAAAACUCAAAUGAAUUGGCGGGG
rnacentral:rRNA from 1 species